UAUGAAGAACGUAGCGAAAUGCGAUAAGUAAUGUGAAUUGCAGAAUUCAGUGAAUCAUCGAAUCUUUGAACGCACAUUGCGCCCCCUGGUAUUCCGGGGGGCAUGCCUGUUCGAGCGUCAUUUCACCACUCAAGCCUCGCUUGGUAUUGGGCAACGCGGUCCGCCGCGUGCCUCAAAUCGACCGGCUGGGUCUUCUGUCCCCUAAGCGUUGUGGAAACUAUUCGCUAAAGGGUGUUCGGGAGGCUACGCCGUAAAACAACCCCAUUUCUAAGGUUGACCUCGGAUCAGGUAGGGAUACCCGCUGAACUUAAGCAUAUCAAUAAGCGGAGGA
rnacentral:misc_RNA from 1 species